AGGAGCCUAAAAACAGAAAAUGCACACAUAUCAUUCGACAGCUGAUUCAAGCAAACAUUUUAUUUGAUCUGUUCCAUGAAGAUUAAUUUAAGACUAAGACUUUUUCCAUUUGCCUGGCUACCCAGUUUCUCCUCUGCAAUGAUUCUGGAUUGGAGUACAUCCCUGACUCUUCACCGAAUGCGAACACAUUCGGGCUGUCUGACUGGACCAGGAACCGAUGGGUUGGGCCAGAGCCGGAACACACGUGGGCUAGGCCCACCUGCUGCUGAAACGUCUGACUGACUCCUUGAGCAACUGCCCACUCAUCUUGCACACAUGCAGGUGAUGCGAGCAAACAAACGAGCUGAAGUGUCAUUCCGAUCCUGGUGGAUAUGUAGAUUUUUUUUAUUUGACUGACAAAAUCUUUAAAUUGUGCCUAAAUAUAUUAAAAUUAAUUUCCAUUACCUUUCCAAAACUUUUAGGAUGUUAUAAUUUUCCAAACCUUUUUCAGGCCUGGAAAACACAAUUUCAAGAUGUCAUUACUUUUCUAGGAUUUUCAUGACCGUAGGAACCCUGGUUAAUGCACAUUACGGUUGAACAAAAAUUUGUUUUAGAACCCCAAAAAAUCUGCAGGAACGAUGUUCAGCCUAAUCACCGAAAUUAUAGACAUAAUCAAAAUUGCUUCGGUAAGAGGGCAAUGUCGGUGUCUAAUUCUCAGUUAAUUGUCCCAGCUCUAGUUACUGUUGUCUUAAAUUGUGAAGACCACUUUUCUCUCUCUGCAACAGCUCGACUUGCACAUGCACAUGCAGAUAGAUAAGCUCUGUAACAUCUUGAAAGUGUGCCUCAAGAAUGAUUAUUUGUAAAAAAAAAAAUAUAUAUAUAUAAAUAAAUAUAACCGUGGUGGCAACAAUUAAGCAGCUGCACAAUAUAACAGAAACUGUGUGCUUAUCGGCAUUGUAUUUUUUAAGACCUUUGAAAACUGAAUUGAAGACAUUGUAAGACUUAAUUAAAUUAAUCUGAUUUAAAGGCCUUAAGACAAAUACUUUAAGGACCCGCAGACACCCUGUUUAAGAUGUUACAACUGCGGUCUUAUACUGAAAGAUUAAUCACGCAUGAAAAAUACAACCCCUCUAAACUCUCUAGGAAAACUCAGACAUUACAAAUCACAUUGCUAAAUGUAGUUUGACAGCUACCCCCACUAUCAGCCAGUCAUAUCUAGGAUGUGUUCCUAGACACCAAAUGGAAGAAAAAAGGCCUGAAACUGACUGCCUGAACUUGUUCAAUGAGACACUGUGCUGUAAAUUAAUGCAACCCAGGGGUGCAAGGAACUUACCAUCCACAGAAUGGAACCGCUAGGCUGUUCUACCUGCUCGGAGCCACUCCAUCGAGACUUCACUGUGGCCAGCCCAAAGUCCCCGAUCUUCACAGUCCAGCCCUCAUGGAGGAAGAUGUCUGAGACAACAGAGCUCAGGAACAUGGCAGCAGGUAGGAGUGACUGUCUCACCUCUAUGAUGCUGACUCCGGCAGGGCCCACAGUGCUGACCAUGUGGACGUUGGGGGUGGAGGUGGACCGAUGCCUCUGUAGGGAUGGUCCAUCUCCAACUGGCUGGGGAAACAGGAAGGCAGAGGUCGGGGACAGAAGUCCAUGCCUACAAGACAAAGGGGCACAACAGAACAGACACGGAUGGUGCCGCCACCUCGGGGCACAUCCUCUGGACUGGUCUCACCAGAGGAGGAGCAAGAGGAGGAGUUGGAGGACAUGAUGAAAGGCAGGAGGAGCAGGGGAGGCAGCACUGAGAUGCUUCAACCGCAGGCGAACUUCAUGCACUGGGGAUCCGGGGGAGUGAGCCCUUACCUGGAACAGACAGUGCUACGAAUUAGCUACGAUCCACCUGAAUUCAAUCAAACGAGUGAGACAAAUGUGCCCACAAUUAUGAACAUAGAUUGACUAAGUAUGUUGCAACCUGCAAGGAUUAUACAACAUUGUGUAAACUAGGUAAAGAACUGCUAAAUAAAACAGAAGAGGCCUCAUUUUUACAACUCCAAAAAUAGCUUAUCACAGUAAAAACAGUCUAAAAAGGGUUGCUUGUACCAAACAGCUGAGUUGGUGUAGGUUGUCAAUGGCUCGAACAAAUGUUAUUUAUCAUGGAUGACUACUACUUUGACACUAACUAGUUAAACUUACUAACCAGCUAGCUAACUUCAUAGGCAACUUUACGUAGCCUAGACAUUGCUAGUUAACGUUCAUUACUACAGCAUGUCUCGCUGCACUUUGACUCACAGCUAGACAUUUAACGUUAAUGUGCACGCGAAAUUGCAUUAUUGCUGUCAAGUACCGUAGGAGCCUUGUUGGCUUUGUAAAGCUACAAAUGUUAUAACUAAAGUCGUUGGCAAGGUAAUUACGUAGCUAUCCUAGCUUAGCAUAUAGUAAUGAUAUGACUGUUUAGCAAUAUGACAUUUCCACAUUUUGGAAGCCAUAUUUCUCGCAGCAUAACUACCACUGAGGCUUGCAAUUCGUUUAUAUUAUUUUGACGGAAUGACAAUACCGCGUCGACGAGGCUGUUAUAAAUAGUUUCUUAAUUCCUGUCAGGUGUUUUUUUCACGUUCGAGUGCUUUCAUGAGGCGGAAAGGGAUUAGCUAGCUAGCGCGUUAGGUUGCUACUUUUGCUGUCUGAUACUAUCAAGUAGCGAAAAGCUUCUUUCACUCUAAUUUACGUAAUAACAUAAGCAACUGCUUAAUUCAUAAUCGGCAAUUCAGUACCAUUGCAAAACGAGUCAUUCAUAAACAACUAACCGCAAAUUUGGUUUUGGAAUAGUCUUACCUGAAGGAGCCAUCUUGAAUGCUCUUCAUCAGAAGUAGAAUCUCUUGGAAAGCGGAACACCUCCGUGAUGCGCGCUCCCUAUUGGUCAAUUCUCACAUGUACACUCGCUCAUUGGAUAACAUAAUAUAACAAUGGGGCGGGUGUUACAAGUAAACAUGAUAAAAAAAAGUUAACAUUCUACAAACUUAUGUUACAGUAAACUACAGACAAACGACGUGGAUAUGAUUCAGUUGACCUAUUAAAUAUCCGGGCGGAACAUUGUUACAUCUGAAUCUACCAUAUUAAAUGGCACAUCCAUAACUAUUAAUUUUAAAUAGCUACAUGCAAUAAAUGGUGGUUGGGCCUCAUUCUGUGAUAAAGCAAAUGUACAGCAUGUAUGAUCCUGAUUUGUUUUGCAGUAAAGUGGUUUGUAUCAUAUGAGCAAGUAAAAACAAGAUUAAAAACUG